UACGUAGGUGGCAAGCGUUACUCGGAAUCACUAGGCGUAAAGCGCAGGUAGGAGGUUUGGUAAGUCUGUUGUGAAAGCUCCCGGCUUAACUGGGAGAGGUCAACGGAAACUGCUGAGCUAGAGUGCGGUAGAGGUAGCUGGAAUUCCCGGUGUAGCGGUGAAAUGCGUAGAUAUCGGGAGGAAUACCUAUGGCGAAAAGCAGGCUACUGGACCGUCACUGACUCUGAUCUGCGAAAGCUAGGGGGAGCAAACAGG
rnacentral:rRNA from 1 species